GCAAGUCGAACGAGAACGGGUUAUAGCUUGCUAUAACUGUCAGCUAAGUGGCGCACGGGUGAGUAAUAUAUAGGUAACGUGCCUUCAAGAAGGGGAUAACGUUUGGAAACGAACGCUAAUACCCUAUAUGCCUUUAAGACUUAAGUCUGAAAGGGAAAUAUUUAUAGCUUGAAGAUCGGCCUGUACAGUAUCAGUUAGUUGGUGAGGUAAGGGCUCACCAAGACAAUGACGCUUAACUGGUUUGAGAGGAUGAUC
rnacentral:rRNA from 1 species